rnacentral:tRNA from 2 species
CCGGUAUAGCUCAGUUGGUAGAGCAUCUGAUUUGUAAUCAGAGGGUCGGGAGUUCAAGUCUCUCUGCCGG